rnacentral:rRNA from 1 species
UCAGGUUGAUAGGUUCGAGGUGGAAGCAUGGUGACAUGUGGAGCUGACGAAUACUAAUAGAUCGAGGACUUAACCAUAUAAUAUGUAGCAAUGUUAUCUAGUUUUGAAGGAAUAUAUAAUUUUCUUCUUGACAUUUCGAAAGAAAUGUUUAUAAUGAUAAAAGUCUGGUAAUGAUGGCAGAGAGGUCACACCCGUUCCCAUACCGAACACGGAAGUUAAGCUCUCUAGCGCCGAUGGUAGUUGGGACCUUGUCCCUGUGAGAGUAGGACGUUGCCAGGCUUAUAUUAUUCCGCAGUAGCUCAGUGGUAGAGCUAUCGGCUGUUAACCGAUCGGUCGUAGGUUCGAGUCCUACCUGCGGAGCCAUUAUGCUUCCAUAGCUCAGCUGGUAGAGCACUUCCAUGGUAAGGAAGAGGUCACCGGUUCAAGCCCGGUUGGAAGCUUGGGAAUAGGUUUAAAACUUUUUUGGCCCGUUGGUCAAGUGGUUAAGACACCGCCCUUUCACGGCGGUAACACGGGUUCGAAUCCCGUACGGGUCACCACUUUUGGAGGAUUAGCUCAGCUGGGAGAGCACCUGCCUUACAAGCAGGGGGUCGGCGGUUCGAUCCCGUCAUCCUCCACCAUAUAUAUUUUAAAUGUCGGAGGGGUAGCGAAGUGGCUAAACGCGGCGGACUGUAAAUCCGCUCCUUCGGGUUCGGCAGUUCGAAUCUGCCCCCCUCCACCAUUUUCUUUAAAAUAACCUGAGAGGGUUUAUUUUUUUGAAAAGAUAACCAUACUAGUAAAUAUUAAUGGGCUAUAGCCAAGCGGUAAGGCAACGGACUUUGACUCCGUCAUGCGCUGGUUCGAAUCCAGCUAGCCCAGCCAUUUACGAGCCAUUAGCUCAGUUGGUAGAGCAUCUGACUUUUAAUCAGAGGGUCGAAGGUUCGAGUCCUUCAUGGCUCACCAUUUUCGCGGAAGUAGUUCAGUGGUAGAAUACAACCUUGCCAAGGUUGGGGUCGCGGGUUCGAAUCCCGUCUUCCGCUUAAUUACUAAGGGGCCUUAGCUCAGCUGGGAGAGCGCCUGCCUUGCACGCAGGAGGUCAGCGGUUCGAUCCCGCUAGGCUCCAUCUAAUAGAGAAAGCUUACAUCAUAUGAUGUAAGCUUUNUCUUUGAUUCCCCGCUGCCAAGAAAAGCUUCUAGCGAGAUAAAAGGUGCCUGUACCGCAAACCGACACAGGUAGGCGAGGAGAGAAUCCUAAGGUGUGCGAGAGAACUCUGGUUAAGGAACUCGGCAAAAUGACCCCGUAACUUCGGGAGAAGGGGUGCUUUCUUAACGGAAAGCCGCAGUGAAUAGGCCCAAGCGACUGUUUAGCAAAAACACAGCUCUCUGCGAAGCCGUAAGGCGAAGUAUAGGGGGUGACACCUGCCCGGUGCUGGAAGGUUAAGGAGAGGGGUUAGCGUAAGCGAAGCUCUGAACUGAAGCCCCAGUAAACGGCGGCCGUAACUAUAACGGUCCUAAGGUAGCGAAAUUCCUUGUCGGGUAAGUUCCGACCCGCACGAAAGGUGUAACGAUUUGGGCACUGUCUCAACCAGAGACUCGGUGAAAUUAUAGUACCUGUGAAGAUGCAGGUUACCCGCGACAGGACGGAAAGACCCCGUGGAGCUUUACUGUAGCCUGAUAUUGAAUUUUGGUACAGUUUGUACAGGAUAGGCGGGAGCCUUUGAAACCGGAGCGCUAGCUUCGGUGGAGGCGCUGGUGGGAUACCGCCCUGACUGUAUUGAAAUUCUAACCUACGGGUCUUAUCGACCCGGGAGACAGUGUCAGGUGGGCAGUUUGACUGGGGCGGUCGCCUCCUAAAGUGUAACGGAGGCGCCCAAAGGUUCCCUCAGAAUGGUUGGAAAUCAUUCGUAGAGUGCAAAGGCAUAAGGGAGCUUGACUGCGAGACCUACAAGUCGAGCAGGGACGAAAGUCGGGCUUAGUGAUCCGGUGGUUCCGCAUGGAAGGGCCAUCGCUCAACGGAUAAAAGCUACCCCGGGGAUAACAGGCUUAUCUCCCCCAAGAGUCCACAUCGACGGGGAGGUUUGGCACCUCGAUGUCGGCUCAUCGCAUCCUGGGGCUGUAGUCGGUCCCAAGGGUUGGGCUGUUCGCCCAUUAAAGCGGUACGCGAGCUGGGUUCAGAACGUCGUGAGACAGUUCGGUCCCUAUCCGUCGUGGGCGUAGGAAAUUUGAGAGGAGCUGUCCUUAGUACGAGAGGACCGGGAUGGACGCACCGCUGGUGUACCAGUUGUUCUGCCAAGGGCAUAGCUGGGUAGCUAUGUGCGGAAGGGAUAAGUGCUGAAAGCAUCUAAGCAUGAAGCCCCCCUCAAGAUGAGAUUUCCCAUAGCGUAAGCUAGUAAGAUCCCUGAAAGAUGAUCAGGUUGAUAGGUUCGAGGUGGAAGCAUGGUGACAUGUGGAGCUGACGAAUACUAAUAGAUCGAGGACUUAACCAU